rnacentral:rRNA from 1 species
CCUACGGGAGGCAGCAGUGAGGAAUAUUGGUCAAUGGGCGCGAGUCUGAACCAGCCAAGUCGCGUGAGGGAAGACGGUCCUAUGGAUUGUAAACCUCUUUUGUCGGGGAGCAAAAGACGCCACGCGUGGCGUUCCGAGAGUACCCGAAGAAAAAGCAUCGGCUAACUCCGUGCCAGCAGCCGCGGUAAUACGGAGGAUGCGAGCGUUAUCCGGAUUUAUUGGGUUUAAAGGGUGCGCAGGCGGAAGAUCAAGUCAGCGGUAAAAUUGAGAGGCUCAACCUCUUCGAGCCGUUGAAACUGGUUUUCUUGAGUGAACGAGAAGUAUGCGGAAUGCGUGGUGUAGCGGUGAAAUGCAUAGAUAUCACGCAGAACUCCGAUUGCGAAGGCAGCAUACCGGCGCUCAACUGACGCUCAUGCACGAAAGUGUGGGUAUCGAACAGGAUUAGAUACCCUUGUAGUC